rnacentral:rRNA from 1 species
UACGGAGGGUGCAAGCAUUGAUCGGAAUUACUGGGCGUACAGGACGCGUAGGCGGUCAGGAAAGUCAGAUGUGAAAUCCCGGGGCUCACCCCCGGGGCUGCAUUUGAAACUUCCUAUCUAGAGUUCAGUUAGGGAAAGCGGAAUUCCACGUGUAGCGGUGAAAUGCGUAGAUAUGUGGAAGAACACCAGUGGUGAAGACGGUUUUCUGGGCUGAUACUGACGCUGAGGCGCGAAAGCAAGGGGAGCAAACAGG